GUAGUAGUAUCGAGUAUUGAUUACUAUGAAAUAUCGAUAUCAACUACUAAAUAUCUAUAUUGACUAAUACAUAACCUACAAGUGUCACGUUUUUAUUUAAACCUGUUUAAAAUCAUUUUAUAACAAUGUAAUCUUAUAAAUAACAGAAACCCUCUUUAUGAGGUGUUUCUUUUUUAUACCUUGUGCGCCAUAAACCAUGUAUUUUCCAAAAAAAUUUUUUCCACAUUAUUAUUCCAAAAUUGUGACCUGAAGAGGAUACUUAGGUAUCGAAACGUUGUCAACCAAUUUUAUAACAUCAAUAAACAUCAAUAAAGACCGUAACUAAGGCCUCGUAAAAAUUAUUAUCCAAAUAACCAAGAAAACGGACGUAAAAAUUUUGAAACAAAAUUAUACAAUUAAUUUCAAAUAUACAAAAACAUUUUUAGUUGGAGGUUAUGUUAUCCUAGUAUUGCGAACCUUUUAUUCGAUUUUAUUUUCUGCAAUUUUAAAAAAAAAGUUCUAAAAUCAAUUUCCACUCAUAGUGUGUUUAUUCUAAUGUUUUUCUUUAAGAAAAAAAAAGAAAAACACUGUAUCAAUUAAAAAUAUAAUUCAAAACAACUUAUUGUAAAAAAAAUUUGAUGGAACUCUUACAGAAAAAAAAAAUGCGAAAAAUGGAGCGACAAAAAAGAAACACGCUUACUCCACAAUGUAACCAAAUCGAACAGAGCUUUCAAGCCUGUUCAUGUUUAUAUUAAUCAGAUGUAAUCCACUGCACAUAAUCGACCCGCACAAAACACGCGAGCGAACAGUGCUUGAACGCGGGUAUCUCGUAGGAUUCGACGCAAUAAAAAUUACAAUUCUCAAAAUUAGUCACAAUCUUGCAUUACUGUAUAAAAAAAAAAAAAAAACGAAUCAAAAACAUAUUUCAAUGAUCUUGCAAAUCAUACAAAAGCCCCGCGCUCUUGCACCGCCGCUAUUAAUCGCCUUUCAUUCAUCUAUUAGCUACUAUAAUAAUUAAUAAAAAAAAAAAUAAUAAUAAUAAUAGUAAUAUUAAUAACAAUAAUAAUAUCAAGAUAUGGUGGACAUUUACACUCUCGAUAAAAAAAAAAAAAAAAAAAAAAGUUACCGUGACGAGGAUAAAUCCCAGAUGGCACUUGGGUCGUGUGCUUAUUCUUCUUUUAUAAAAAGAAAAAAUAUAUAUAUAUAUAAUAUAUGAAUUAGCGCUUUUCCAUGCUAAGGAAAAAUGCGAAAUUCUUCUCUUAUUUAAUAACUGUCCUGAGAAUAAUAAUGCAAAAUUUUAAUUGGAGUUUUUUUUUUUAAUUAUUUUAUAUAUUUUUUUCUUCUAACGCCACUACAUGAUGAAACAAAAAACUAUAUAGGUAUAUAGUAAAUUUUACUUAAAAAUGCAAAGAUUAAAAAAAAAAAUUGUAUUAAAAUAAAAUUUAAUAAUUUAUUUGUUUAUAGUUUAAUAACGUUAAAAACAUUAGUUAAUGUUAUUUUUAAUUUAAGUUAUUAAUUAAUUUGAUUAUUUAUUAAUUAUUAUUAAUAUGCAAUUUUUAAAUAUUUACGUAAGAAAAUUUUACCUUUUUUUUUUAGAACAUUGAAAAUUUCACUAUAUAUACAUAUUUUGGAAAUUAUAUUUAUAGUGUGAUAUGGAAAUAUUUUUUAGAUCUAAUUAUUUAUAGCGAAUUAAAAUAACUUUUAAAGACGAAAUUUGAUAUUUAAUUUCUAUAUUUUUUAUUGUAGGUAUUGAUUAGUUAUGAGAAAGGUGAUUUUUUUCUUUUUUUUUUUUGUUUUUUUUUUACUAUACGAAUUUAUUUAAUAUUAUUAUUGAAGAUAUUUUAUUGUAAAUUUGAAAUAGUAAUAAUAUUAAAAUAAUAGGAAACAUGUAUAUUAUCUCAGGGCAGUAAUAAAUUAUUUAUGUAUUUUUUUCUGAUGAUGUCAACAGCAAUAACGAUAUAUAUAUAAACAUCAGCGACAAAUCUUUUGUAAUUAUAUUAUCUUUUACUAUAUAUUGUGACCAUGAAAAAGGCAUGUGUCAUAAAUAUUUAGAUGAUUAUAAAGAAAGUGUUAAAAACACGGAACAUAAUCGGAAUUUUGUGUUCACCGAUCAAACAGUGAAUCGUAUAAGACUAUGUAUUGUGUAUAAUGAAUUUAAGGACUUGAUAAUAUAGAAGACUCUCCUGUAAAUAGAUAAAAAAAAAUACAUGUUUAUUCCAA